AUUGAACGCUAGCGGGAUGCCUUACACAUGCAAGUCGAACGGCAGCAUAAGAGAGCUUGCUCUCUUGAUGGCGAGUGGCGAACGGGUGAGUAAUGUAUCGGAACGUGCCCAGUAGCGGGGGAUAACUACGCGAAAGCGUAGCUAAUACCGCAUACGCCCUACGGGGAAAGGAGGGGUCCGCAAGGACCUUUCACUAUUGGAGCGGCCGAUAUCGGAUUAGCUAGUUGGUGAGGUAACGGCUCACCAAGGCAUCGAUACAUAGCCGACCUGAGAGGGUGAUCGGCCACACUGGGACUGAGACACGGCCCAG
rnacentral:rRNA from 1 species